rnacentral:rRNA from 1 species
UACGUAGGGGGCGAGCGUUGUCCGGAUUUAUUGGGCGUAAAGAGCUCGUAGGCGGUUGCGGAAGUCGGAUGUGAAAUACCGGGGCUCAACUCCGGGGCGCCAUUCGAUACUCCGCUGACUCGAGUCCGGUAGGGGAAGGUGGAAUUCCUGGUGUAGCGGUGAAAUGCACAGAUAUCAGGAGGAACACCGGUGGCGAAGGCGGCCUUCUGGGCCGGUACUGACGCUGAGGAGCGAAAGCGUGGGGAGCGAACAGG